AUUGAACGCUGGCGGCAGGCCUAACACAUGCAAGUCGAGCGGAUGAAGGGAGCUUGCUCCUGGAUUCAGCGGCGGACGGGUGAGUAAUGCCUAGGAAUCUGCCUGGUAGUGGGGGAUAACGUCCGGAAACGGGCGCUAAUACCGCAUACGUCCUGAGGGAGAAAGUGGGGGAUCUUCGGACCUCACGCUAUCAGAUGAGCCUAGGUCGGAUUAGCUAGUUGGUGGGGUAAAGGCCUACCAAGGCGACGAUCCGUAACUGGUCUGAGAGGAUGAUCAGUCACACUGGAACUGAGACACGGUCCAGACUCCUACGGGAGGCAGCAGUGGGGAAUAUUGGACGAUGGGCGAAAGCCUGAUCCAGCAAUGCCGCGUGUGUGAAGAAGGUCUUCGGAUUGUAAAGCACUUUAGGUUGGGAGGAAGGGCAGUAAGUUAAUACCUUGCUGUUUUGACGUUACCAACAGAAUAAGCACCGGCUAACUUCGUG
rnacentral:rRNA from 1 species